GCAUGGACCGCUCGUGGUAGAAAUUUGAAGUAGAUCGUUUGCAGCAAAAACUCGGAGUGGGUCGCUUGCAGUAGAAGCUUGGAGUCCGACCCUUGUAGGAGUUCGGGGUGAGAUCUACCUGCGACAGAAAUUUAGGGUGGAAGUCCGACUUUCGUGGGAGCCCGGACGAAGUCUACCUGCAGUUGGAAUCGGGGAUGAAGUCCGACUCCCAUAGGAGUCCGGACGAAGUCUUCCUGCAGCUGGAGUCAGGGAUGAAGUCCGGCUCCCGUAGGAGCCCGGACGAAGUCUACCUGCAAUCGAAGUCGGGGAUGAAGUCCGGCUCCCGUAGGAGUCUAGAUGAAGUCUACCUG
rnacentral:lncRNA from 1 species